rnacentral:rRNA from 1 species
AAUUCGGCCACAUUGGGACUGAGACACGGCCCAAACUCCUAACGGGAGGCAGCAGUAGGGAAUCUUCCGACAAUGGACGAAAGUCUGAUGGAGCAACGCCGCGUGAGUGAAGAAGGGUUUCGGCUCGUAAAACUCUGUUGUUAAAGAAGAACAUAUCUGAGAGUAACUGUUCAGGUAUUGACGGUAUUUAACCAGAAAGCCACGGCUAACUACGUGCCAGCAGCCGCGGUAAUACGUAGGUGGCAAGCGUUUGUCCGGAUUUAUUGGGCGUAAAGCGAGCGCAGGCGGUUUUUUAAGUCUGAUGUGAAAGCCUUCGGCUCAACCGAAGAAGUGCAUCGGAAACUGGGAAACUUGAGUGCAGAAGAGGACAGUGGAACUCCAUGUGUAGCGGUGAAAUGCGUAGAUAUAUGGAAGAACACCAGUGGCGAAGGCGGCUGUCUGGUCUGUAACUGACGCUGAGGCUCGAAAGUAUGGGUAGCAAACAGGAUUAGAUACCCUGGUAGUCCAUACCGUAAACGAUGAAUGCUAAGUGUUGGAGGGUUUCCGCCCUUCAGUGCUGCAGCUAACGCAUUAAGCAUUCCGCCUGGGGAGUACGGCCGCAAGGCUGAAACUCAAAGGGAAUUGACGGGGGCCCGCACAAGCGGUGGAGCAUGUGGUUUAAUUCGAAGCUACGCGAAGAACCUUACCAGGUCUUGACAUACUAUGCAAAUCUAAGAGAUUAGACGUUCCCUUCGGGGACAUGGAUACAGGUGGUGCAUGGUUGUCGUCAGCUCGUGUCGUGAGAUGUUGGGUUAAGUCCCGCAACGAGCGCAACCCUUAUUAUCAAGUUGCCAGCAUUAAGUUGGGCACUCUGGUGAGACUGCCGGUGACAAACCGGAGGAAGGUGGGGAUGACGUCAAAUCAUCAUGCCCCUUAUUGACCUGGGCUACACACGUGCUACAAUUGGAUGGUACA